rnacentral:rRNA from 1 species
UACUAGAGUAGCACUCGCAUAUCAAUAAGCGGAGGAAAAGAAACUAACAAGGAUUCCCCUAGUAACGGCGAGUGAAGCGGGAAGAGCUCAAAUUUGAAAUCUUAAAGGGUUUCCCUUUACGAAUUGUAGUUUAAAGAAGUGUCUUCUGUUGAGGUUUCGGUAAAAGUUCUUUGGAAUAGGACAUCAUAGAGGGUGAGAAUCCCGUAUUUGACCUUUACUUACAACUUUGUGAUACACUUUCAAAGAGUCGGAUUGUUUGGGAAUGCAGUCCAAAAUGGGUGGUAAAUUUCAUCUAAAGCUAAAUAUUGGCGAGAGACCGAUAGCGAGCAAGUACCGUGAGGGAAAGAUGAAAAGAACUUUGAAAAGAGAGUUAAACAGUACGUGAAAUUGUCAAAAGGGAAGCGUUUGACACCAGUGUUGUUUUUCUGAAAAUCAAUUAAAGAACUGUUUAUGCUAAGUUGUUUAGACUUUAUCAGCUAACUGUUUAGUUUUGAGCUUUUCUUUAAUGCACUUUUCAGUUAACAAGUCAACAUCAAUUUCUUUUGCUGUAAAAAAGCUUGAGGAAGGUGGCUUGAGAUUCGUCUUAAGUGUUUAUAGCCUCUUGCCUAUGCAGUCGGAGAGAUUGAGGUCUGCAGCGUAGAUCCUUCGGGGCUAAAUGCAUUUGUGCUAAGUUAUAGCAUUUUAUAGACAACUUGUUGACUAUGAUUUGUCUUGUAGCUUACUCGCUUAUGUUAUUUUACCUACGCUUAGGAUGUUGAGUAGCGACAUACGCAC